rnacentral:rRNA from 1 species
UACAGAGGGGGCAAGCGUUGUUCGGAAUUACUGGGCGUAAAGGGCGCGUAGGCGGCCUUCUAAGUCGAACGUGAAAUCCCCGGGCUCAACCCGGGAACUGCGUCCGAGACUGAAAGGCUCGAAUCCGGGAGAGGGAUGUGGAAUUCCAGGUGUAGCGGUGAAAUGCGUAGAUAUCUGGAGGAACACCGGAGGCGAAGGCGAAUCACUGGACCGCUUCUGACGCUGAGGCGCGAAAGCUAGGGGAGCAAACAGG